GGCUGUUCGCCAUUUAAAGUGGUACGUGAGCUGGGUUCAAAACGUCGUGAGACAGUUUGGUCCCUAUCUGCCGUGAUUGUAGGAGAAUUGAGAGGAUUUGUCCUUAGUACGAGAGGACCGGGAUGAACACACCUCCGGUGGACCUGUUAUCGCGCCAGCGGUAGUGCAGGGUAGCUAUGUGUGGACGGGAUAACCGCUGAAGGCAUCUAAGCGGGAAACCCACCUCAAAACAAGUUCUCCCUUGAGAACCGAGGAAGACGACCUCGUUGAUAGGCCAGAUGUGGAAGGGCAGUGAUGUCCGUAGCUUACUGGUACUAAUCGUUCGAACGGCUUGAUUGCUCUCAUUAU
rnacentral:rRNA from 1 species